rnacentral:rRNA from 1 species
GACGAACGCUGGCGGCGUGCUUAACACAUGCAAGUCGAACGAAGAGCGAUGGAAGCUUGCUUCUAUCAAUCUUAGUGGCGAACGGGUGAGUAACGCGUAAUCAACCUGCCCUUCAGAGGGGGACAAACAGUUGGAAACGACUGCUAAUACCGCAUACGAUUUAAUCUCGGCAUCGAGACUGGAUGAAAGGUGGCCUCUAUUUAUAAGCUAUCACUGAAGGAGGGGAUUGCGUCUGAUUAGCUAGUUGGAGGGGUAACGGCCCAGCCAAGGCGAUGAUCAGUAGCCGGUCUGAGAGGAUGAACGGCCACAUUGGGACUGAGACACGGCCCAGACUCCUACGGGAGGCAGCAGUGGGGAAUCUUCCGCAAUGGACGAAAGUCUGACGGAGCAACGCCGCGUGAGUGAUGACGGCCUUCGGGUUGUAAAGCUCUGUUAACUGGGAGG